rnacentral:rRNA from 1 species
GACGAACGCUGGCGGCGUGCUUAACACAUGCAAGUCGAACGGAAAGGCCCUGCUUUUGUGGGGUGCUCGAGCGGCGAACGGGUGAGUAACACGUGAGUAACCUGCCCUUGACUUUGGGAUAACUUCAGGAAACUGGGGCUAAUACCGGAUAGGAGCUCCUGCUGCAUGGUGGGGGUUGGAAAGUUUCGGCGGUUGGGGACGGACUCGCGGCUUAUCAGCUUGUUGGUGGGGUAGUGGCUUACCAAGGCUUUGACGGGUAGCCGGCCUGAGAGGGUGACCGGCCACAUUGGGACUGAGAUACGGCCCAGACUCCUACGGGAGGCAGCAGUGGGGAAUAUUGCACAAUGGGCGGAAGCCUGAUGCAGCAACGCCGCGUGCGGGAUGACGGCCUUCGGGUUGUAAACCGCUUUCGCCUGUGACGAAGCGUGAGUGACGGUAAUGGGUAAAGAAGCACCGGCUAACUACGUG